UACGUAGGUGGCGAGCGUUGUCCGGAAUUACUGGGUGUAAAGGGUGCGUAGGCGGGUAAUAAAGUCAGAUGUGAAAUGCCGGGGCUCAACUCCGGAGAUGCAUUUGAAACUUAUUAUCUUGAGUGAAGUAGAGGCAAGUGGAAUUCCCAGUGUAGCGGUGAAAUGCGUAGAUAUUGGGAGGAACACCAGUGGCGAAGGCGACUUGCUGGGCUUUAACUGACGCUGAUGCACGAAAGCAUGGGGAGCAAACAGGAUUAGAUA
rnacentral:rRNA from 1 species